GCCAGGCAUGGUGACAGCCCCUGUAGCCCCAGGUACUACUCAUGAGGCUGAGGCAGGGAAAUCACGUGAGUCCAAGAGGUCUGGGCUGUAGUGCGCUAUGCAGAUCAAGUGUCCACACUAAUGAGUUAAGCAUCAAACAUGGUGGCCUCCUGGGAGCAGGGCACCAGCAUGUUGCCUAAGGAGGAGUGAACCAGUUCAGGUAAGAAGCAAAGCAGGUCAAAACUCCCGCGCUGAUCAGUGGUGGUAUUAUGCCUAUGAAUAACUACUACACAGUAGUAUUUAAACUUCAGUCCGC
rnacentral:SRP_RNA from 1 species